AUCCAAGAAAUAAUACGAUUUUUUUGUUUUUUGAUUUUUCAUUUCGUACAACAUCGCGCAUUUCGUGCAGGAAAAGAAGAAGAAGAAGAAGAAGAAGAAAAAAAAAUAUUCUAUAGUUAUCAACCUCGUCAUUUAUCAAGAAUGAUACGUUCCACAUAACGAAUAUUUGUCCUUCCUUUUUUCUUAUUCUUUUUCUUUUUAAUUUAUUUUUUCUUUCUUUCGUUAGUUCGUUCGUUCGUUCGUUCGACAAUGUCCACGUGGUGCGUAAAUAUCUACACGUUCUAACAUAUUCAAUAUCGAGUGACUUUAAACGUGAUAACAAUGUCCAUUAAAUGUUUCAUUCAGUUUACCUUGGAACUGAACAGGUAGCGAAUGCUAAUAAGAUGUUAAUUUAGAUGCCGUCGUUGAAUCGAGAUGAAACGUUCAUUCUUAGUCAAAUAUUUAUCUACAAUAACGGGAGUGUUCGUUGUUUGUUAGAAAAAUUUUAUCGUUUAAUGGAUUCACAAACUCCUUUUUCAUUUUUUUCGUUAUUUAAAUUAUAUUAUAACUAAUAACGAACAACAGGAUAAAGAAGGUAUUACAUUUUUUCCGACGAAAUUAUACAUAUUAUAAGAAAUUAAAAAAACGAGUUCGGUGACUAUUUAAAUGUUAUGAAUAUAUAUUAUUGAUUAUCUUUAUUGAUCGAGUCAUUUUUAGAGGACACAAAAACUAUUAUAUAUUUCUUUAAUUCAUUGAAUAAUUGAAUGGUAUUUUUUUUUUUUUUUUUUUUUUUUUUUCUAUAAAUAUUUAUCAAAACCCCACCCCUACCCCGUCCACCCUUCCCUCCAAGUUCUAUCCGAUGUCAAGUUCUUUAACCUUACGUGUCAAUUAUUUUCAUUGUUGCAUUAUUUUUCUUUUCUUUCUUCUUCUUUUUUUUUUUUAUCUUUUAUUACUUUCAUAUAACAAUCCUACAAAUUGCGCUCGUAAAUUUGGACACUCGAAACUUUUAAUACGUCCACUUUCGAGCAUGCAUUAAAAGGUGGUUUGAAAAUCGUGCCAAGAAAGUAUCAAUUUGACGUACGAUGAAGCCAUUUUCAGCGGACUCAUAUGGAUCUCGAGUCAUUCGGUAAACAGCUGUUGGCUCGGAUCCUCUCCUUUUAAGUGACUCUCGUUGGAACAACAAAACUUGGAAGAACGUCGACAAGGAUAGAGUUAUUUUCGUUGUAAUUAAGUGAGAACGAGAGCCUCUCGUAAGAGAUCUUAAGAAGAAGAAGAAGAAGAAGAAGAAGAAGAAGAAGAAGAAGAAUUUAACAGAGUCAGUCAAUUUGGGCAGUACGUUAAUUGGUUAAUUCGUGGCCGAGCGUAUCCGAUAACCGAUGUCUCGCUCUGAGGAGGAUCAUCGAAGGAUGUCGUUCGUCCUUAACUUGGCCAAUUCGAGAUAACUCGAAAGGAUCGGCUUGGAUCGAUCGAUCGUCGUACAGGGAAAAAAGAGGAAGAAGAAAAAGAAGUGGAAGUGGAAGUGGAAGUGGAAGUGGAAGAGAAAGAAGAAGAAGAAGAAGAAGAAGAAAAAGGGCAAUCUUGAAUCUUCAACGAUAAUCCGCACGACGAUUUUACUUUUCUAUGACAAAUUUCUCCAAUACGUGACCAAGUUCGCAGCGAUGACUAGCGGACAAAGGAACAGAUCUGUCGUACAUCCGGAACAACGUUACGGUUACAUGCCCUGCCCUUUGUACGAUACAGCCGAUAACCGAUGCAAAAUCGCUGGGAAGUGUAUUUUCUCUUUUAUUUUUUAUUUUUCUUUUUUUUUUCUUUUCUUUUUUUUUUUUUUUUUACUUUUCUUCUUCCGCAAUGAUUCGUAAUAAUCGAUAUAAUAUAAAUGGAACAAUGUCGAUCUAAUUAUUCGUAUAGUUCCUAUAACAUCGUUUAUCUAUUUAAUAUUGUUUCAGCAUGUUAAUCUAGGUAUUAUCUAAGAUAUUUUAAUAUCUAUACAAUAGAUGAUAAUUUGUCAACGAUAUUCUUAUUGAUUAUUUACACGUUGAUUAUUCGAACACAUUGUUGAUACUUAAACAUAUCAUUAUCGAUAUUCUUUCAGGUUAAUGUUUGACCUAUCUAUCAAUCUAUCCAUCUAUCCAUCUAUCCAGCCAUUCAUCCAUCGAUCCAUCUAUAUAUCUAUCUAUCUAUCUAUCUAUGUAUCUAUGUAUCUAUCUAUUUAUUACGAUUCUUGAGUGAAAGGAUAUGAAUGUCUAGGACUUAAACUGCGUAGAAGAAACGAGUUUUUCAUAAUGCUAAUAUGAUUCACGUCUUGCACAUAAAUUGAUUUAAUAGAUCACAUAUUAUCACGUUUAACUUCGUAUAUUCGUAUUAACGGAGAUAUUUGUGUAUCAUUUAAAAAAAAUCGAUUACCGAGAGAGACAUUAGAAUAUUAAACGAUAGCAUUCGAAAUUGUAUAUAGUCAUUAAAUACCGUCGUAGAUAUUACACGAAUCCAUUAUAGUCGUUAAUUUACAUACUCAUUUACGAUCAUUAAUCGUUCAAACGUUUCUUUCUAAUUUUUUUUUUUUUUUGCUUUUUUCACACUUCUAACCCUAUCGCUCUCAAUUCUCUCGUUCAAAUUUACUCCAUGGCUUUUCUUUUUUGUUUAUAUAUAUAUAUAUAUAUAAAAUCAAAGAGAUGCCACGAGAUCGAUAAUAAGAUCGAAAAUAAUAAUUUAAUUCGAUCGAAUUAAUUUUUAUGUAUUAAUUUCGAUCGUCUUACGAAACAAGUGGAAAAAGAUAAUCAUCCGUACAAUUAUUGAUUCGUACUACUUGGAUUCUCGGGUAACACACACACACACACACACACGCACACACACAUAUGUACAAAUGUAAUAGCAAAGUAUAAAAAAUCGAUAGUUCUUGGUAGUAGGAAAAGUAAUGGUCAAUGCUGACCUUUAAGUAAACAUAGAGAGCACGUUCAUUUCGUAUCGAGGAAAUAGGAAAAAUUGACGGAAAAAGAGAGACAGAUAGUUACAGAGUGCGAGAGAGAGAGAGAGAGAGAGAGAGAGA